UGAGUGGCUUUCACCAAUGAAUAGAUGACU
rnacentral:piRNA from 1 species